ACGAACGCUGGCGGCGUGCUUCACACCUGCAAGUCGAACGGAAAGGCCCUGCUUUUGUGGGGUGCUCGAGUGGCGAACGGGUGAGUAACACGUGAGUAACCUGCCCUUGACUUUGGGAUAACUUCAGGAAACUGGGGCUAAUACCGUAUAGGAGCUCCUGCUGCAUGGUGGGGGUUGGAAAGUUUCGGCGGUUGGGGAUGGACUCGCGGCUUAUCAGCUUGUUGGUGGGGUAGUGGCUUACCAAGGCUUUGACGGGUAGCCGGCCUGAGAGGGUGACCGGCCACAUUGGGACUGAGAUACGGCCCAGACUCCUACGGGAGGCAGCAGUGGGGAAUAUUGCACAAUGGGCGGAAGCCUGAUGCAGCAACGCCGCGUGCGGGAUGACGGCCUUCGGGUUGUAAACCGCUUUCGCCUGUGACGAAGCGUGAGUGACGGUAAUGGGUAAAGAAGCACCGGCUAACUACGUG
rnacentral:rRNA from 1 species